GCUCUGAUAGUCUAAUGAAGAGAAUAUCCGGCUACGAACCGGAAGAUAUAGGUUCGAUUCCUAUUCGGAGCA
rnacentral:tRNA from 1 species